AAAGUAAAUAAAAAGGAAAUAAAAGAAAAAGAAAGAUAGAAAAGAACAGAGAAGCUCACGAAACAGAGAAAGAAAGGAAAGGAAGAAAGAAAAAGGAAAAAUUGGAGAAUUGAAGCUUGAAAGUUAAAUUGCAAACAAAGGAACCGAGGCAUCCAAUACAAAGGGGAAAGAGAAAGUAGUCGAGGAAUAGCUCGGGGGAAAAUCGAUUUGUAUUAUCAUAAUUCAUAGUAUUUAUUAUUGCAUAUUUAAUUGUAAUAUAUAUAUAUAUAUAUAUAUAUGAAUGUGCGUGAAAAUGACUUGAAUGAGAAUUGUUGAUUAGUUGUGAUUACAUUGAGAAAUAUAAGAGAAUUGAUUGAAAUGUGAAAA